UACGGAGGAUCCAAGCGUUAUCCGGAUUUACUGGGUUUAAAGGGUGCGUAGGUGGAAUGACAAGUCAGUGGUGAAAACCUAUAGCUUAACUAUAGAACUGCCAUUGAUACUGUUAUUCUUGAGUGUAUUUGAUGUAAGUGGAAUGUGUCAUGUAGCGGUGAAAUGCUUAGAUAUGACACAGAACACCCAUGGCGAAGGCAGCUUACAAAACUACAACUGACACUGAGGCACGAAAGCGUGGGGAGCAAACAGG
rnacentral:rRNA from 1 species